AGAGAAAACAACACUUCAACACACUGACAGUAGAAACACCUCAGCUGUUGACAACACUCAAUCAUUUAGUUUUAUUAUUUUUAUUUUUUAAAGGAAUAACGACACACUCACACAAAAUCCUUUUGAAAUGUUUGUCAUUGCUUGAAGAACGAUGUACUUUUUUCAUAACCAGAUAAAGAGUUUAGCUCUCUCAUUUUCAAUAGCCAUAAUUCAGUUUGACUGUAUAUCCAAUAUUUCUCAUUCAUUCUCUUGUUCCGAUAUAACGCGUAUUAAGAAAACACAUUUAAUGAUCUGUGAGCUCUUCUGUUCUUCAUAUGCAACUCAAUCAUCGUGGAUCAAAAAAAAAAAAAAAAAAAACACCAACAACCACAACUACAAAAAAGCAAAUGAAUCAAACAUUUUGAGUGCACACUAAUUAAUCUUCAGUAAAAUUGCCUUCAUUAAAUUUGUUGAACAGUGAUCAACAAUAAUACAAAGUAGCUCAGUAUGUUUCUUUACAGCAUGAUGGUCCCUGAUUUAAGUCGUAGCCAGAAAAUGAAAUAUUUCAAAAUGAUUUGAACAAUACUUACUAAUAGGAACUGUAGUGAAGAGCAUGGUCCCGUUAUGUGCUGAGUUACAUGCUUUACAUAGAGUCUUUUGGAGGUUGCUCGCAUGCUGAAUGACAUACAAAGUGACAUACAAACUGUGUGUUUGGUAGCAGUUUAAGCUGUUGUAAAUCCUGCCCACUUCUUUGCAUUGUCAGCACAUGCUUCAGUGCUCUGAGAGUGUUUAUAGUGCUGUGAGUUUAACACUUCAUGACUGAGAGCAGAACAGAACAGAAUCUUCAUCAUCACACAAGACAAAACAACAACAAUGAACAUCAUCAUCCUCAUCUGGACUCUGACUCUCUGCAUUCAGGAGAUCUGGGGACAAGUGACAGUGACUCAGAAUCCAGAAAUAAAAUCCAUCAAACAAGGAGAAACUGUUACAAUCAGCUGUAAAACCAGUCAGCCGAUUUCUGGCUGUAGUGACUGUGUGUAUUGGUAUCAGCAGAAACCUGGACAAGCUCCUAAACUCCUCAUUUAUUACAUAAGAAGCCUUCAGUCAGGAACUCCAUCUAGAUUCAGUGGCAGUGGAUCUGACUAUGGAAGUGAUUUUACUCUGACCAUCAGUGGAGUCCAGACUGAAGAUACAGGAGAUUAUUACUGUCUGAGCAGACACAGCAUCAAUAGUAAAUAUGUGUUGACACAGUGAUAAAGAGUCGUACAAAAACCUCCAUCAGUCAGAGUCACAGUGACUGCACUGAUACAGCUGAGAGAAACCGCAGCUGCUGAUGAGAGGAUCACAAACAAUGCAAUGACAAUAAUGUUUAACAAAUUUUCUAAUGACUAAAUUUUAAUUUAGUGUUAGUGCUCAGUCAGUUCAGUCUUUGUUGCACUUCUCUUGUGUUUCAGAUCAGAGUAUGAGAAUGGAGUGGAAACUGAAGCAAAGAUUUUUAAUUCAGAUUUUUGAUUGCAGAUCAAUGUUUUUCUUGUAUUUCUUAAUUUAAAACCUGUAUUUAACCUUAGAAUGAUCUCAAAGUAAAUAAGAGGUGUUAAGUAUGAAUUUGU